rnacentral:lncRNA from 1 species
AAAACAUUGCUUUCGUGGGGAAGUUAUACGUCAACAUUCAAAGAAACAGACAAGUCAAAAGAUUUCCUGUGGCCAGAAGUUAUACAGACCAGAAAUUGUUAUGGAUGUAUGUGUGACCACUCAGACCACUCAGCCUAAAAGUAACUUAUGGGUGCUGCAGACCAAUUAUGCCGACGUCAUGGAUUCUAGGGUGUGCAAAGCAACUGCUGAACUCAUUUUACAACCCGUACACAUCAUCACGCACUCCAAAGAUGCG